UAGGGAAUCUUCCGCAAUGGGCGAAAGCCUGACGGAGCAACGCCGCGUGAGUGAUGAAGGUCUUCGGAUCGUAAAACUCUGUUAUUAGGGAAGAACAAAUGUGUAAGUAACUAUGCACGUCUUGACGGUACCUAAUCAGAAAGCCACGGCUAACUACGUGCCAGCAGCCGCGGUAAUACGUAGGUGGCAAGCGUUAUCCGGAAUUAUUGGGCGUAAAGCGCGCGUAGGCGGUUUUUUAAGUCGGAUGUGAAAGCCCACGGCUCAACCGUGGAGGGUCAUUGGAAACUGGAAAACUUGAGUGCAGAAGAGGAAAGUGGAAGUCCAUGUGUAGCGGUGAAAUGCGCAGAGAUAUGGAGGAACACCAGUGGCGAAGGCGACUUUCUGGUCUGUAACUGACGCUGAUGUGCGAAAGCGUGGGGAUCAAACAGG
rnacentral:rRNA from 1 species